UGCAAGUCGGACGGGAUUCAGGGAGUAGCUUGCUACGAACUGAUGAGAGUGGCGCACGGGUGCGUAACGCGUGAGCAACCUACCCAUAUCAGGGGGAUAGCCUCUCGAAAGAGAGAUUAACACCGCAUAACAUCAUUUACCGGCAUCGGUUUUUGAUCAAAUAUUUAUAGGAUAUGGAUGGGCUCGCGUGACAUUAGCUAGUUGGAGAGGUAACGGCUCACCAAGGCUACGAUGUCUAGGGGCUCUGAGAGGAGAAUCCCCCACACUGGUACUGAGACACGGACCAGACUCCUACGGGAGGCAGCAGUAAGGAAUAUUGGUCAAUGGAGGCAACUCUGAACCAGCCAUGCCGCGUGCAGGAUGACUGCCCUAUGGGUUGUAAACUGCUUUUGUCAGGGAAUAAACCUUUCUACGUGUAGGAAGCUGAAUGUACCUGAAGAAUAAGGAUCGGCUAACUCCGUGCCAGCAGCCGCGGUAAUACGGAGGAUCCAAGCGUUAUCCGGAUUUAUUGGGUUUAAAGGGUGCGUAGGCGGUCCUAUAAGUCAGUGGUGAAAGACGGCAGCUUAACUGUCGCAGUGCCUUUGAUACUGUAGGACUUGAAUCUAUUUGAAGUGGGCGGAAUAAGACAAGUAGCGGUGAAAUGCAUAGAUAUGUCUUAGAACUCCGAUUGCGAAGGCAGCUCACUAAGUUAGUAUUGACGCUGAUGCACGAAAGCGUGGGGAUCAAACAGGAUUAGAUACCCUGGUAGUCCACGCCCUAAACGAUGAUAACUCGAUGUUUGCGAUACACAGUAAGCGUCCAAGCGAAAGCGUUAAGUUAUCCACCUGGGGAGUACGGUCGCAAGAUUGAAACUCAAAGGAAUUGACGGGGGCCCGCACAAGCGGAGGAGCAUGUGGUUUAAUUCGAUGAUACGCGAGGAACCUUACCCGGGCUUGAAAGUUAGUGAAUGAUCCA
rnacentral:rRNA from 1 species